rnacentral:rRNA from 1 species
AGAGUUUGAUCCUGGCUCAGAACGAACGCUGGCGGCAUGCCUAACACAUGCAAGUCGAACGCCCCGCAAGGGGAGUGGCGAACGGGUGAGUAACGCGUGGGAACCUACCCAGCAGUUGGGGAUAACCGCGGGAAACUGCGGCUAAUACCGAAUACGUCCUGAGGGAGAAAGAUUUAUCGCUGUUGGAGGGGCCCGCGUCGGAUUAGCUAGUUGGUGAGGUAAUGGCUCACCAAGGCAUCGAUCCGUAGCUGGUCUGAGAGGAUGAUCAGCCACACUGGGACUUAGACACGGCCCAGACUCCUACGGGAGGCAGCAGUGGGGAAUAUUGGACAAUGGGGGCAACCCUGAUCCAGCAAUGCCGCGUGAGUAAUGAAGGCCUUAGGGUUGUAAAGCUCUUUUACCGGGGACGAUGAUGACGGUACCCGGAGAAUAAGCCCCGGCUAACUUCGUGCCAGCAGCCGCGGUAAUACGAAGGGGGCGAGCGUUGUUCGGAGUUACUGGGCGUAAAGGGCGCGUAGGCGGCGCUCCAAGUUAGGCGUGAAAGCCCCGGGCUCAACCUGGGAAUAGCGCUUAAGACUGGAGUGCUUGAGUGCGGGAGAGGUGAGUGGAAUUCCCAGUGUAGAGGUGAAAUUCGUAGAUAUUGGGAAGAACACCAGUGGCGAAGGCGGCUCACUGGCCCGCAACUGACGCUGAGGCGCGAAAGCGUGGGGAGCAAACAGGAUUAGAUACCCUGGUAGUCC